GAUUCCUUAACUUCAUUUGUUGCUCCUUUGUCAAUGUCCUUAUACCAUGGAAGUCCUGGUGAAUUAUCACAUACUCCUAAUGUGCUGAGAAAUACCACUUUCAGGACACUGAGAUAUAAAACCACUUAAAAGCGUUGAAGAAGGAAGGAUUCAUGAAUUCUAUAACUGUAAGAGAAUGAGUUCUGCCAAAAAUCUAAGGGAGCUUGAAAGCAUAUCUUUCCUUAGUUCAGCCUCUGCAUGAGAACCCAGCUUUGCCUGACACCUUGAUUGCAGCCUUGAUAAGACCGUAAGAAAGACCGUAAGAAAACCCAAGCAGAUGUGCCUAUAGACUCCUCACCCACAACUGCGAUAUCACAGAUGUGUCCAGACUUCUUACCCACAACUGCGAUAUCACAGAUGUGUCGAGACUCCCUACCCACAACUGCAAUAUCACAGAUAUGUCGAGACUCCCUACCCACAACUGCAGUAUCACUGAUGUGUCGAGACUCCCUACCCACACCUGCGAUAUCACAGAUGUGUCGAGACUCCCUACCCACAACUGCGAUAUCACAGAUGUGUCGAGACUCCCUACCCACAACUGCGAUAUCACAGAUGUGUCGAGACUCCCUACCCACAACUGUGAUAUCACAGAUGUGUCCAGUCUCCUUACCCACAACUGCGAUAUCACAGAUGUGUCGAGACUCCUCACCCACAACUGUGAUAUCACAAAUGUGUCUUGGUCUUGCUUUAAGCGACUAAAUUUGCGGUAUUUUUUUCCAUAGCAAUAGAAAAUCACUAUAGUACUAUUCACUCAUGUGGACAGUGAAGUUGUUUUACUUUGUUUAAAAUUAAGAAAUAACAGUAAAAUCCACAUAUCUUAAGUAUUAAUCUCAAUGGAUUUUUAUAUAUACAUUCCCUUGAUAAAGAAACAAAUAAUUUUGUUAAACAGUUUUUAAUAUUGCUAUUGUUUUCUUCCUAAAAUUUUCAUAAUAAUUUAACAUUAAAGUCCUAUGCAACUAGAGUGUUCUUUGUGGGAAAGUUUUGAAUUAUGUGUUCAUUUUAAUAAACAAAUAUAGGACUA